rnacentral:tRNA from 1 species
GGCGUGGUGGCAGAGUGGUCUAAUGCACAAGACUAGAAAUCUUGUUCCUUCGGGAGCGUCUGUUCAAAUCAGGCCCACGUCG